rnacentral:rRNA from 1 species
AUCUAUAUAAUUUUACUUUCAAAUCCACCUUCAAUUAAUUUUUCAUAAUAAUAUUCAUUUAAAUAAAUUUAUUGUAAUUCAUUUCUACUUAAACAUAAGCUACACCUUGAUCUGAAAUAAAUUUUUAUAAAAAUUUAAGAAAAUUAUUAAUUCUUUUAAAAUAUUCUGAUAACGACGGUAUAUAAACUGAAAACAAAUUUAAGUAAGGUCCAACGGGGAUUAUCAAUUAUAGAACAAAUUCCUCUGAAUAGACUAAAAUACCGCCAAAUUUUUUAAGUUUUAAGAACAUAACUAUUAC